GACGAACGCUGGCGGCGUGCUUAACACAUGCCAGUCGAACGGAAAGGCCCUGCUUGCAGGGUACUCGAGUGGCGAACGGGUGAGUAACACGUGGGUGAUCUGCCCUGCACUUCGGGAUAAGCCUGGGAAACUGGGUCUAAUACCGGAUAGGAGCCAUUUUUAGUGUGAUGGUUGGAAAGUUUUUUCGGUGUAGGAUGAGCUCGCGGCCUAUCAGCUUGUUGGUGGGGUAAUGGCCUACCAAGGCGGCGACGGGUAGCCGGCCUGAGAGGGUGGACGGCCACAUUGGGACUGAGGUACGGCCCAGACUCCUACGGGAGGCAGCAGUGGGGAAUAUUGCACAAUGGGCGCAAGCCUGAUGCAGCGACGCCGCGUGGGGGAUGACGGCCUUCGGGUUGUAAACUCCUUUCGCUAGGGACGAAGCUUUUUGUGACGGUACCUAGAUAAGAAGCACCGGCUAACUACGUG
rnacentral:rRNA from 1 species